rnacentral:rRNA from 1 species
UUUGGUUGACCCGGGCGUAAGGGACCGAAAUUAGAGUAGGGAAGCACACUUAGCUGAAGGCGAGAAAAGCUUUGCGUAUAGAAACAGAUGCCCGUACCGCAAACCGACACAGGUGGACAGGAAGAGAAUUCUAAGGCCAGCGGGAGAAGGGUAGUUAAGGAACUCGGCAAAUUGACUCCGUAACUUCGGAAUAAGGAGUGCUCGAAAGAGCCGCAGAGAAUAGGCCCAGGCGACUGUUUAGCAAAAACACAGGUCUCUGCCAAAUCGAAAGAUGAAGUAUAGGGGCUGACACCUGCCCGGUGCCGGAAGGUUAAGAGGAGGAGUGAGAGCUCCGAAUUGAAGCCCCGGUAAACGGCGGCCGUAACAAUAACGGUCCUAAGGUAGCGAAAUUCCUUGUCGGGUAAGUUCCGACCCGCACGAAUGGUGUAACGAUCUGGGCACUGUCUCAACUACCCACCCGGCGAAAUUGUAGUACCGGUGAAGAUGCCGGUUACCUGCGGCAAGACGGAAAGACCCCAUGGAGCUUUACUGUAGCCUGAUAUUGGGUUUCGGAAAUCUAUGUACAGGAUAGGCGGGAGACUGGGAAACAUGAGCGUCAGCUUGUGUGGAGUCGAUGUUGGGAUACCGCCCUUAGGUUUCUGGAAUUCUAACCUGCGGCCGUGAAUCCGGUCGGGGGACAUUGUCAGGUGGGCAGUUUGACUGGGGCGGUCGCCUCCGAAAAGGUAACGGAGGCGCUCAAAGGUUAGCUCAGCACGGACGGAAACCGUGCCUCUGAGUGUAAACGCGAAAGCUAGCCUAACUGCGAGGGUGACGGCCCGAGCAGUAACGAAAGUUGGAGUUAGUGAUCCGGCGGUAUGUGAACGGAAAUGCCGUCGCUCAACGGAUAAAAGCUACCCUGGGGAUAACAGGCUGAUCUCCCCCAAGAGUCCACAUCGACGGGGAGGUUUGGCACCUCGAUGUCGGCUCAUCACAUCCUGGGGCUGUAUUCGGUCCCAAGGGUUCGGCUGUUCGCCGAUUAAAGUGGUACGCGAGCUGGGUUCAGAACGUCGCGAGACAGUUCGGUCCCUAUCUGUCGUGGGCGCAGGAUAUUUGAGGAGCUCUGUCCUUAGUACGAGAGGACCGGGAUGGACGUACCUCUGGUGCACCAGUUGUCAUGCCAAUGGCACGGCUGGGCAGCUAUGUACGGAACGGAUAAACGCUGAAAGCAUCUAAGCGUGAAGCCGACUCCAAGAUUAGAUAUCCCAUCGUAUAACGAGUAAGACCCCUUGAAGACUACGAGGUUGAUAGGCUGCGUGUGUAAGUGCCGUGAGGCAUUCAGCUUGGCAGUACUAAUAGGUCGAGGGCUUGAUU